rnacentral:rRNA from 1 species
UGGGGAAUCUUGGGCAAUGGGGGAAACCCUGACCCAGCGACGCCGUGUGGGGGAUGAAGGCCUUCGGGUUGUAAACCCCUGUUAGGUGGGACGAACAUCUUCCUACAAAUAGUGGGGGGAUCUGACGGUACCACCAGAGAAAGCCCCGGCUAACUCCGUGCCAGCAGCCGCGGUAAUACGGAGGGGGCUAGUGUUGUUCGGAAUUACUGGGCGUAAAGGGCGCGCAGGCGGCUUGGCAAGUCGAGUGUGAAAUCCCUUGGCUUAACUGAGGAAUGGCGCUCGAAACUACCUCGCUGGAGGGCGGGAGAGGGAAGUGGAACUCUCGGUGUAGGGGUGAAAUCUGUAGAUAUCGAGAGGAACACCGGUGGCGAAGGCGGCUUCCUGGCCCGUACCUGACGCUGAGGCGCGAAAGCGUGGGGAGCAAACAGGAUUAGAUACCCUGGUAGUCCACGCCCUAAACGAUGGGCACUAGGUGUGGACGGUAUUAAUCCCGUCUGUGCCGUAGCUAACGCAUUAAGUGCCCCGCCUGGGGAGUACGGUCGCAAGGCUGC